GACGAACGCUGGCGGCGUGCCUAAUACAUGCAAGUCGAACGGAAAGGCCCUGCGCUUGCGGGGCGCUCGAGUGGCGAACGGGUGAGUAACACGCGUGUAACCCGUCCCUGACAUUGGGAUAACAUCAGGAAACUGGGGCUCAUAUCCGAUAGGAGCUCCUGCUGCAUGGUGGGGGUUGGAAAGAUUCGGCGGUUGGGGAUGGACUCGCAGGUUACCCGCUUGAUGGUGGGGUAGUGGCUUACCAAGCGUAUGACGGAUAGGCGGCAUGGGAGGGUGGCCGGCGACAUUGGGACUGAGAGACGCCGCAGACUCCUACGGGAGGCAGCGGUGGGAAGUAUGACGGAGUAACGGGGAGCCAGUGACGACGGCCCCGGGUGCGGAAUACCGUGUUUCGAGUGAUGAACCGAUUUGUCCGGAGACGUGCAGUGAUUGACGGUAAUUAAUAAGAAAGCACCGGCUAACUACGUG
rnacentral:rRNA from 1 species